rfam:Schistosoma haematobium scaffold871_18, whole genome shotgun sequence.
ACCUAGCCGACGAGUGUCAAAUAGCACGAAACCCAGGUCCAGGGU